GACGAACCGUGCGAACGUUGUUCGGAAUCACUGGGCUUAAAGGGCGCGUAGGCGGCUUGCCAAGUCAGUGGUGAAAGCCCACAGCUUAACUGUGGAAGUGCCUUUGAUACUGGCGAGCUCGAGGGAGGUAGGGGUAUGUGGAACUUCUGGUGAAGCGGUGAAAUGCGUUGAUAUCAGAAGGAACGCCGGUGGCGAAAGCGACGUACUGGACCUCUUCUGACGCUGAGGCGCGAAAGCUAGGGGAG
rnacentral:rRNA from 1 species